rnacentral:ribozyme from 14 species
GCGAACACACAUAUAACGAACUGUACGCGAGAAUAAAAACGAGAACGAAACGAACAGAGGAGUAAAAACUCUCUCUCUGGUGUGUUUCUCGUCCUCUCCUCUUCUUCUUUCAGUCUUCGUGUUGUUGUUGUUUCUUAGAGCGUUCGUAUAAAAGACAUCAUGGGAGGAGGAAACACCGACGAAGGGAUGAGCGCAAACCACCUUUCACAGCUGAAGAGAAAAGCAAAAA